GGAAAGAAAGCCAAAAAAAAAUGAAAAUAAAAAAUGAAUAAAAAAAAUAAAUAAAAAAAAUAAUGAAAAAAAUGAAAGAGAGAGAGAGAAAAAAAGGUCCUGUUGUUCGUGGGAAUGUACGAAAGUCGCUGCAUCUGCGCUGAAUACGGGCGACAUCUGCAGCCCGCCUGGAAGGAUGCACUGUCCUGGCUGCCGCACUGGGUACAGUUGUGACACGACCAUCGCCACCUGCUCCUCCAUGCUCCACCGCUUACAGAGGUGGAGGUGGACCCACUACGCCGAGGCAGCCCCAAAAGCAGCACAUACGCAAAGUUCGAAUGCCAAGGAACAAAGCUGAAGUUGAGCAACGCCCAACAGAACAAGGUCAAGGGAUUCGCCCGCAAAAAGUACAACGCCCUGAGCGUUCGCACUCGUUCUGGCUUGCCCAGAACGACACCAAUAUCGCCACCGCCUCACCUCAUACAGAAGACGUCAUCCAAGAAACGAAUUACCAACACAGCCGAAAUCGCCCCUGGCGGCAGGCCGACGCCACAAAGAAGGAAGGAAGCGCAUUGGCAGUGCUCAGACCAUGAAGAAUCAGUGGUGUUUAGGUGUUUAUCGAAUUGUGCGGUGCAUAUUGUGGAAAUGAAGUGGAGAACAGAAGUGGAAUGGUGGCUGCAGACUGCAGAUACAGCAGUAACAGGAUGACUGAGGCGGAAACGUGGAGGAGGCUAGACUGUUUCGAAGCGUCCGGUUGCGGGAGCUUUUCCUGCGUGCGCCUGUCGCGAAGAGUCAGCCAAAGAUGUGGGACAGCUUCGUGGACUUAUGGGCUGUUGUGAUUACGGCCAGCCAAACAGUGGCGAACUCCAACGAGACGGCGUCGAAGUGAUUGAUGCAGGGCAAUAAUCCCAUAAGGGACAAUAAUACGGACGCACUUGGUUAGAGUUGUGUUUUUGUUUUUGUUUUGUUUUUUUUUUUUGCUGUUGAAAAAGCAAACCUGAAUUUUCUGAAAACUUUCAAAAGAUGUGCCGCACUUCUUAAAGGCCUUUGUCAUGAUAACAAAAUCGUUGUUUACGGUAGCACCAUGGUGAUUUCCUGUUUCGCAUAGGUUGCCUACACCAGUGCCGCAGUGCUAUGCGUCAUUGCUAUGACGCGUCAUUGCUAUGACGCAAAGAUGUGCCGCAGUGCUAUGAGUCAUUAUGCGUAGGAAAUUACUGUGGGAUUAUAGCGAGUUAGGGGAUUACCGAGUCAGUAGAAUUUGAUUUGAUUAUGUAUCGGGUGUUGGAUGUUUCCACGUCAUUGAAUGUGUUUCACGCGUUGCUGCUGCCUAAGUUUUUGGUGUACCCUUUGUUUAACAUUCGAAUACAUGCAUGUUCUGGGCCACUUGUCCUACGUUUUGUUCCAACUCCUACAAUAGGUGACAAAUUGUUUUGUGUUUAUUAGCGGAUGUCUUAUUUGGCGAUAUAAUCAAACCUUGAGGUUGUGGAUCGUCAUCGCGAGAUGCGAAAGUGCUAACUUAGCCGUAAAUGGUGAUUUUCGGUUUCGUUAUACUUGGUUUACGACACCAGUGUUUGAAACAUGCGAAUAAACAUGUUUUGUAUUCGUUGA
rnacentral:lncRNA from 1 species